UGCGGGAUGGAGCAGUCUGGUAGCUCGUCGGGCUCAUAACCCGAAGGUCGUUGGUUCAAAUCCGUUUCUUAAAG
rnacentral:tRNA from 1 species